AGAGUUUGAUCAUGGCUCAGAGUGAACGCUGGCGGUAGGCCUAACACAUGCAAGUCGAACGGCAGCACAGGAGAGCUUGCUCUCUGGGUGGCGAGUGGCGGACGGGUGAGGAAUACAUCGGAAUCUACUUUUUCGUGGGGGAUAACGUAGGGAAACUUACGCUAAUACCGCAUACGACCUACGGGUGAAAGCAGGGGACCUUCGGGCCUUGCGCGAUUAAAUGAGCCGAUGUCGGAUUAGCUAGUUGGAGGGGUAAUGGCCCACCAAGGCGACGAUCCGUAGCUGGUCUGAGAGGAUGAUCAGCCACACUGGAACUGAGACACGGUCCAGACUCCUACGGGAGGCAGCAGUGGGGAAUAUUGGACAAUGGGCGCAAGCCUGAUCCAGCCAUACCGCGUGGGUGAAGAAGGCCUUCGGGUUGUAAAGCCCUUUUGUUGGGAAAGAAAACUUACCGAUUAAUACUCGGUGAGAAUGACGGUACCCAAAGAAUAAGCACCGGCUAACUUCGUGCCAGCAGCCGCGGUAAUACGAAGGGUGCAAGCGUUACUCGGAAUUACUGGGCGUAAAGCGUGCGUAGGUGGUUGCUUAAGUCUGCUGUGAAAGCCCUGGGCUCAACCUGGGAAUUGCAGUGGAUACUGGGCGACUAGAGUGUGGUAGAGGAUAGUGGAAUUUCCGGUGUAGCAGUGAAAUGCGUAGAGAUCGGAAGGAACAUCUGUGGCGAAGGCGACUAUCUGGGCCAACACUGACACUGAGGCACGAAAGCGUGGGGAGCAAACAGGAUUAGAUACCCUAGUAGUCC
rnacentral:rRNA from 1 species